rnacentral:rRNA from 1 species
GUCCACGCCGUAAACGAUGAGUGCUAGGUGUUGGGGAGGAAUCCUCGGUGCCGCAGUUAACACAAUAAGCACUCCACCUGGGGAGUACGACCGCAAGGUUGAAACUCAAAGGAAUUGACGGGGGCCCGCACAAGCGGUGGAGCAUGUGGUUUAAUUCGAAGCAACGCGAAGAACCUUACCAAGGCUUGACAUCCCGAUGACAGGUGUAGAGAUACACUUUUUCUUCGGAACAUCGGUGACAGGUGGUGCAUGGUUGUCGU